rnacentral:rRNA from 1 species
GAUGAACGCUAGCGGCAGGCCUAACACAUGCCAGUCGAGGGAGGAGCUUUCGGGCUUCGACCGGCGUACGGGUGCGUAACGCGUAUACAAUCUGCCUUUCACAUAGGGAUAGCCCGAAGAAAUUUGGAUUAAUACCUAAUGGUAUAUAGGAGUGGCAUCACAUUUAUAUUAAAGCUGAGGCGGUGAAAGAUGAGUAUGCGUUCUAUUAGCUAGUUGGAGAGGUAACGGCUCCCCAAGGCGACGAUAGAUAGGGGUUCUGAGAGGGAUAUCCCCCACACUGGUACUGAGAUACGGACCAGACACCUACGGGAGGCAGCAGUGAGGGAUAUUGGACAAUGGUCGGAAGACUGAUCCAGCCAUGCCGCGUGCAGGAAGACGGCCUUAUGGGUUGUAAACUGCUUUUGCAAGGGAAGAAUAAGGACUACGAGUAGUUUGAUGACGGUACUCUGCGAAUAAGCAUCGGCUAACUCCGUG